UACGGUCACAUCAGUUUAGAACGCCGAUUCCCUUACGAUCAUCAAAUUUAAGCAACAUCGCGCCGGGUCAGAAAUUUGAUGAGUGACCGCUUGCGAAUACAAGGUGCUGUAAG